UAGACGAUUUUUCCCGGCUCCUGCUUG
rnacentral:sRNA from 1 species